CAAACACACGUGCCCUCGGCACAAUCUGAAGCAAAAACAACAAUCCGGGUCCACCGUCAACCCCAACGGUACCCAAUAGUUCGGAACAGCCUAAACUCUGCUGUAAAAAUAAGCUCGACAUCCCAGCACGAGCGUAAAUACAUUCUACACUAUCCUAAGUAUCCACCGGCCACAAACUACGGUGAUACAAACAAACGACGACUCCUAGAGCUAAAUCUGGUAGUUUUGACAUAUGACAGUAUAGAAAUGCCAGUUUUCUCCUAAAUCAAAUCCAGAUCCAACAUGUAUUAUUUAUCCAACUUACUACAGCAUGCUCCAAAUUCAAAUUUCGUUUAACAUGUUAAUCGAUGAAUUCGAGCUAAAAACA
rnacentral:lncRNA from 1 species